ensembl:lncRNA
GAGCGCCGCCGACUGGUACGACUACUCGCCCAGUAAGCCAAGAUGGAGUCGCGCUUCUCACCGAGCAAAGGGACGUAUCCAUGCACACUACGCUUCCUUCUUCAAUGAAACGGAUUUUCCCCACCAGUCCUUCAGCAUCGGGCAACUGAAUACGGUCGGGCCGUCGGGGGGGGGGGAUUUUUUCUUUUUUUUCUUUUUCGGAUAGUCGCAAAUAUAUGAAGCCAUGAGCUCGGGGGGAGGCGAAGACACGACUAAGGACGGGGCCGACAUAGCGGCGUUUUUCAAAUCCGAUUGCUCUCUUCCCAAGUGUGAGGCUAAGCAUGAUUUAGCCGGACACACUGGUGCGGAAGUGCUGAUUUAUUGCUGUGAGAGCAUAUGGAGCCGUUUUAAAAUGAAUGAUGAGGAGGUGCAUAUGUUGCGCACGAGUGGCCGAGCCGCAGCGGUUCUGCCGCAUUCCCGGCGGUGCGAGGGUCCUUCUCUGAUUGCAGCCUGAAGUGCGUGAGGCUCACACUGAGGGUUGGCUUGCCUCUGCUGGGCCCGAGUAACAUUUGCACAAAGAAUCCUCCCAGACAAGACUUUUGUCCGGCCUGCCAAAUCACCGGUCUGUCGGCGCCGGUCAGGCCAGCCGCGGCCCGACUCACUCCGCACCGCUCCGGACCAGCUCUUGAAAGCACCAGUGUUUUGCUUAAGCCUGGCAGGAAAGGAAUAAAAGCCUUAAAAUGUCAGGCCUGCGUCCGGAGUGCUUCUUUAGCAGGUGGGGGGCAAAACACAUUCAGCGAUGGCUUGAAGGAGCAAAGUGGUGGAUUGUGUUAGAUAACACACAAG